rfam:Magnaporthe poae ATCC 64411 unplaced genomic scaffold supercont1.8, whole genome shotgun sequence.
CUGCGCUUCGCCUCCCCUACAGUUAUCCGUCUCCAUGUUGUGCCUCGUCUCCGGACAUGGCAUGUGCGCUUUCGCGCCCUCACCCGCUCAGGCACGGCAAACCUGCCACGGCAAACCGUCGCAUCUUCGCUCCCGUAUCGGGUUACCUUGCAAUGAUCGCCGCGUGAGGUUUUUUUGCUUUGCCGUGUGCACUCGCUCUUUUGCGACCGUCCCGAGCGGGGAGAAUGGGAUUCGGAACUUAACCCUAAGUUCGACCGUGGAAAGUAGGUAUUUGUCUACAAAAAGGUUUUGCGUCUAGCGGGUCCGCUUGCUCCCCCUUUUAUGCACGAGUCUCGUUUUCAUGCGACUGCUUCUCUGCGCUUGUCCUGGCCGGCUGACUGCCUUAACGGGCGGUCGGCUGGCUGGAAAAGCUGCGGAGGCGGAAGCGUGGAUGAGCGAUGUGCGGACCGGUUCUCUGGGAGCGGCAUCCAGGCACCUCCUCCUGUGGAAACGGGAGGGGUCAGGUGGGCAAUCGUCGAGGCUAGAGUCUGUUCGGGAAGACCCUCUGGCCUGAGGGCGCUCUUCAGCCUCGACACCUGGAACCAGUUCACCCCGGUCAUUUCUGGAUUUCUCGGUGGAUGCUGGGAGACAACUUUGAGUCCCCUUUUUGGAUGGGGAGAUGCCACGAGACGAGCCACCCAUUUGGACCUGCUCCAAAUUCCACGGGUAUGACGCCGAGCUUCUUUCUACAAGGAAGCCAGUCGUCCUGCGGCCGCAGAGGGAGGGCGCAAUGAUGGCUUACCACGAUCAGCUCCGCGGCGUUCACCUCACUUCUGCCCCUGAUUCACCUCGCCGGAAAUCACUCGAGUCGACCUUUCUGUCACUCUUGUGAGCGGGGAUCAAUGGCACAUACACGGAAGCCGCGGAGCUGAUUGAAGUCUCCUGCCUCCUUGUCACGCCCUCUGCACCCUCUGCACCGCCGCAAUCAUGCCACACCAGCCUCGCUCGUGGCAUCCAACCCCUUCCAGGCUCCCGCUCCCCAGCUCCCGAGACGUUAUCGAUCUUUUCUCGAUGCGCCAUGCCACGGCAUGGGGUCCUGGCCAGACGACAUUAAUCCCCCGCCGUGGGCUUUGGUCCCACGGGCGGACGGAACGCCACAACCACAGCCUCCUUUCCCCUUCCGGGCGUCCACUCGGAGGGGGCAACGAGUGUUCUGUUUUGUAUCCGCCUCUGCCGUUGUUCCUGUUUUGGUACGUGGCCAGAAACGGUCGCCGACAGAACGGGAACCGGAAGCAAGCGGAUUUUUUACCGGGGACUUUUUGUGGAUGUAUUUCACCCCCGUCCAGAGUGUUUUUACUCUUGGACCCAAACGAAAAACUAGUCCUUGUUGGCGGCACCUUUUUUCUACGAAAAAAAGCAACACGGAGAGAGACAUCUGUGGUCCGGGUUCACAGUAUUCCACGACUUCGGCGUUUCGGGCGGGGUCUCUUCGAUAACGACUGUGCUAUCGCUGGGUGUCUUGGAUCGCAUAUUGUGGACGGAUCGGUUCAGCAGCGCUGGGAGAUUCGACAGGCGGGUUGCAGGCGCGAGCUCUGUCAGUGCGGGGACCCAAGUGCGUUUUUUGGCAGCGAUUACGACAAAGGCAACCCGGCCGGAAAUCAGCCACCGCGGAGAACGAACCCCUCUGUCUCGAGCUCAACCGUCCGUCAUUGACCAGACGCAACCUUUCCUAGUGGUUCCGGGACCCAUCUAGAGUUGGAGUCAAAGCUUCGCGCUUGUCUGGAACCCUGCUGAUGGUAUAUGGCAGCGGUUUGUGUCUUGGGCAGGGGAUGGUAAACUCUCGAGCGGGUUGGGCUGCUGGCUGGCAAGUAAGAUAUGGGCGCGCAAGAUGGCUUGGCAGCCCAGGUUGUCCUCCCUUCAGCAAUGACGGGAGGACAACCCCCCUGUU